rnacentral:rRNA from 1 species
CAAAAACAUAGCUAAAUGUCAUUAUAUUUGGUGUUUUCUGCUCAAUGAUAUAAUUAAAUAGCCGCAGUACCUUGACUGUGCAAAGGUAGCAUAAUCAAUUGGCUUAUAAUUGAAGUCUGGAAUGAAAGGAUAUACGGGUAAUUACUGUAUCUGAUAUUUAUACUGAAAUUGAUCUCCAAGUGCAAAUACUUGCAAUUAAUUGUUAGACGAGAAGACCCUAGAAAUUUGUGUAAAUGUUUAGUUGGGGCAACGUGGUAAGAAAUAACUUACAAUAAGGACAUGAAAAAUGAUUUGAAAGAAAAAAUUACUCUAGGGAUAACAGCAUAAUUUAUUAAAGUUUGUGACCUCGAUGUUGGAUUUGGGAAUUAUAGUCCAGAAGACUUUUAAUUUUGCUCUGUUCGAGCGUAGCAC